UACAGAGGUCCCAAGCGUUGUUCGGAUUCACUGGGCGUAAAGGGUGCGUAGGUGGUGAGGUAAGUCGGAUGUGAAAGCUCGGAGCUCAACUCCGAAAUGGCAUUGGAAACUACCUCGCUAGAGGAUCGGAGGGGAGACUGGAAUUCUCGGUGUAGCAGUGAAAUGCGUAGAUAUCGAGAGGAACACCAGUGGCGAAGGCGGCUCACUGGUCCGGUACUGACGCUGAGGUGCGAAAGCGUGGGGAGCAAACAGG
rnacentral:rRNA from 1 species